GAACUGAGUCAUUUCCUUUCCUCCAUUUAACUCUAAAUAGUACCUAACGCUUAUUUCUCUUUCCAUUUUCCCAAGGGAAAUAAAACACAAAAUAAAAUCCUCGGAGAUCAUGGAUGCCUUAGCAUAACCGUAGCCAACUGUGCUGGGGGAAUACAGGGAGCAACCUUUGUGUUCGUCCACUUGGUAUAAUGAACAGCAAGGUGUAUGCCUGUGCGUCAAAGUAUAAACAGGGUUUGCCCAAUCCAGUACAAGUUGCAUGAAAAUCCACUUGUUCAACUUUGGAAAGAGGUUGGAAUCAGGUUAUUCAUCCACGCGUGAUGACUCGUGUUGUGUAAGGUGAAAACGUUAGCAGGAUAUGACAGACGGAGACAUACAGAAUGAAGACCUUGAUUCAGAUGAGGAAGACAACAGCAAUGUAAAUGAAUAUUUGAUGAGUCAAAUGCUACAGAAUGCUCCUGUAUUCCUGAAAGAGACGAUGUUAGAACUAGGUCAGAAAAUGUUACUAGAUUCUCACCAUGGGUCAAACCUAUUGGGUGGAAUGCCAGCACUGUGACUCCAGGUUGGAAAUUGUUUGUAAUGGACAAUAUGCUACAAAUUGUUUAGAAAUAUAGUAAUAAUGCAAUACAAGUAAAACAUUCCAUUUGCAUCAAAGUAAUACUCAAAAUGUAUUUAUCAUGACACCUCGCUACCUGAACUAGAAGCCUUCAUAGUGGACUGUCAUUCUGAUCAUCAGAAUCUAAAGAAUUUAUGGAGAAGUGACAGAUGUGACAUUGAGAAUUUUAGAACAAUAACACUCAAGAGAUUUGGUUUCCUUCAAAAUUGCCUAUGUUUUGAUGAUGAAAAGACCUGUCAAGAAAGAAAAAAUCCAACAAUUUAGCUGCUAUUCACUCAUGUUUGAAAGCCUUGUUUUGAACUCUCAAGCAAUUUAUACACCACCCAAACGCAUGACAAUUGAGGAACAACUUCCAUCAUAUCAUGGUUACUGAAGCUUUCAAUGACGUGUGCCAAACUAACCUUUUAGAUAUGAUAUAAAAAUAUGUGACCUACUGGAUGCAAAGACAUUUUACACCUUGAAUUUAGAAAUUUAUCGUGGAACUCAGCCAUCAGGUCUUUAUUUAUGCAGCAAUAAACCACAUGACAUUGUGGACAGACUUGUUGCACUAAUUUCAAAAGGUAACCCAAAUGUCGCAUUUGACAGCUGGCUCACUAGUUACCCACUGAUGUUUCAUUGCUAAAAGAACACACCAGAAACAUUUACAAUAACAAAGCAGAGAUUCUUGAAAAAAUAUCACAGGUUCUCAAUAGAGAAAUGUAUAGUACAGUCUUUGGAUUUCAGAAAGACAUACAUUAGCCUCCUAUACGGUGAAUAAAAACAAAAUUGUAUUGAUAUUGUCAACAUCAUACUAUGAUAAGAUUGAUAGUGAAGCCAGGCAUAGGGGUACAUGCCUGUAAUUUCAGUGCUUGGGAAGCUGACAUGGGAGGAUUUUGUGAGUUCAAGUUUGGCCUGAGCUACAUAGUGUCUCAAGAGAAAUGAACAAAAAUUGAUAGUGAAUCCUUAACACAAACGAAGCCCGAAAUGGUCAUAUUUUACAACAAAAUGGAAGGCAAGGUAGAUGUUGUUGACAAGUUAUGUAGCAACCAUGAUGUCACUCAAAACAGUGCUUUAGCCAAAGGUUGUGUUUUACUCAAUAUUAAACAUGUCAGGCGUAGGUUCAUACUGACAAAGAAAACAAUCAGCACAAGCUAUCAAGGAGAACUUUUCUUAGAGGACUGGACUAGAACUGAUAAAUAAUGAGUUACAACAGAGGAAAGGCAGUAUGUAUCUGGCCCAAGAACUCUGCAAAAGAAUUCAGGAGCAGACCAGAGAAUAGACAGGUGAAUCACAAGAACCUCCUAAGAAAACAGGAAGACCAGCAAGACCUUA